rnacentral:lncRNA from 1 species
CCCCGAUACCAGAUCUCUGUCCUUGAUCUACCUGCUAGACUUGGCCCCAGGUCCCCAGUCCAUGACUCCCCAGCCCAGCCUCCAUCCUGCCCCCACAACCCAACCUCCAAGAAGGCCCACUUUGCCUUCCUCUCUGGGUUGCCUCCCACCCCCAGAAAAAGGCUAUGAGGGUCUCAGGCCCUGUGGACUGACCUGGUCUAGCUUGCCAGAGGUGGCCAGGAGCUUGGGUGGGUGGCUGGGUUCACGAUACUGUGGUGGGGCUUUGUCACUGCCACCACUGCUGCUGCUGCCUCCGCUGCUGCCAACCACGUUGCCACAGACAUCGGUGUGGUCACUGCCCCGCAGCUCACCAUUGAGGUAGAGGGAGUUGGCGAGACCCUUGUCCUCUGAGGGGUAGCGGCCCGGCCUCUCCCUGCUGGCCCCACUGCCACUGCCUCGGGGGCCAGGGAAACUGCCCUGGCUGCCCCCACCCCCUGUGCGGGUACCCACACUCUUCAUGGCAAACUCCUGGGCAUGGGCCACCCCACUGCCCACGCUGCCCAUGGCCAGGCGGGGGUCCGGGGGUCCAAGCUCGGAGGGCCGUGGAGCAAAGGCCAGGAGAGGAUCCCGCCCUGGGUCAGCGCGCACAGGCAGCGUCUCCAGCUUCGCCAUGACUAAGCCAGGGGGGCACUGUGGGCACAGGUGGGAAGGCAGAGAUAGGUAAGACCCUACUCCUAUUCCCACCACCCCAGCCAAGUCAACCCGGCACCACUCUGCCCCUCAGUGUCCCCUUCCCUACAAUGGGUACAAAAAGUUCCCAGGCAUCCAAGGUGAAGGAAUAAGGCUGGGAUAAAAGAGAGAACUUGGGAAUGGGGGCUGCCUGUUGCCCACCUGAUAAAGCCCAACCCCCAGGGCUCCAUGCACAUAGCCCCCAGCGUUGCUCAGCUCAGCUCAGCUCAGCUCAGCGUUCCAUUCCUAAACUUCUGCCUUAGCCCCACCUCCACCAUGAGCUUCCCAGGCUCAGUGACCCUCUCAACUCUUUGCUGCAACCCCAGAAUUUUGGGGUUCUUUAUCUUGGGUCUGGGACCCUAAUAUCCCAACCUCAUGGGCUGGGGAAAUGGGGUUGGAAGGGGAGACCAGUACCUGAAUCCAACAGGGAACCAACCUCAGAAAUUAGGGGAGGGAGAGAAAUACACCCCUAUCCAAAAAUUGAGGGUGGGGGUCCUUCCCAGCCCCCUAACCUAAGUGUUGCAGUCAGGGCAGAAGUGGAAGCUCACUACCAGCGCAGGCUUCUCUCCUUGCCUUUCCAAGGGGUUGAGGGGCCGACGGGUCCUCAAGCCUGGGACCCUCCGAGGCCCGGUCUGCAGGGGCCAUGUGCCUCACUCUCGCAGUCGGGGCUCGGCCCGAACCAGCUGCGCGACUUUGGAGGGGCCGACUGAGCCAUCCCGGACUGCAAUUUUCUCCUCUGCGAAAUGGGAGGAAUGAAGGACCUAACUUGCGGGGCUGCCGCGUGCCAGGCGCCCCGAGGCGGCGAGCGCCUGAGGAAACGGGGGUCUUGGGGAGGGUGGGUAGGCGACGCACAUCUGGGUCGCGGGUGGGCGCCGCCAAGGGCACACCCUGUCCCUCGCGGACGGACGGGGGCCGCGGCUGCAGUAGGUGGCAGGCCUGCCCUCCCCAAGGUCUUCCCAGCUCGGCCGCACCGGGGCCCUGGGAAGACAGGGCCCCCUUCCCGGGAUCAGUCCUCCGCAGAGGUCCCAGGGCUGGCUGAGGCCGGGGCAGGGGACGCAGUGGCGCCAGCUGCUGGCGCUGACGGAGCCUCUCUCAGGGCCUGCGUUUCCCACAGGUGGGAGGGGGGAGGGGAGGGGAGGGCCCGCGCACCCUGCAGCGGCCCCAAGGAUCCUGCGCCUGCCGAACCCCGCAAAGAAUUCACUGCCACCAGGAAGACUUCCUGGAUUACUACCCUCUCCCGCUCCCUGUGGACCUUGACCCUGCUCAGCUUACCGUGAAGCCCUCUGAGUCCUUCUGUGGGUGCGCGUCCCCCUCCCCCAAGGCUGGCCCACAAGCGCAGGGGGAGCCAGGCCUCGGGUUACCUGUGCUCAGGGAGGCCGUGCUUCCUCGUUCCUUUGUCUCAAGUUCGCACCUGGGAACACCUGCCCCAGAGAUCUGCAUAAUGCAGCCGGGCAGGAGCACCAGGCAGUGUCUGCCUCGGGUUAGACCCUCAAAUAAGUGUGUGGGAAAUGGGAGAGGGCGCCCUUCAGGCCUUUUCCCACUACACCCUGCAUAAACCAGGCAGGGAGCCCUCCUUCCCUAUCAAGUUAAGGGGCCCACGUGGCACCCUAUGGCCCCACAGACCGUCUUCUACCCAGAUGCCCAGUUCUAAUGCUGAGUCCCUGGCCCAGACCAAGGGAACCUGACAAAACUGUUGUCCUUCGGGAGUCUUCUGGCCGCCACACCAGGAAUGAGAGCUCUAGGUUGUUGGAAAGUUCACUACCAAGCCUGUCCACUGUCUCUGUAGAAUUCCAUUCUCAGCAUCUGUCCCCACAGGUGUGGAGAAGAGCACUUCGCCACCCUCCUCCCUUGGACCCGUCUGUCCCCAUAAGCAAGGGCCAGGACUAGGAUGAGGACAGAGAGCCACGUAGGGCACAAAUGAAGGGCACAAACAGCAAGUACACAGCCCUGAGGGUGACAGCCUCCUUCCCUUUGUGCCUUGGGUCCCUCUCUGGCCUCACUCUAGUCCCUGCUCUGCCUCUACUCCCCAGCAUACUCCAGCCCCCUAUGCCUCAGCCCUGCAACCCCCUCCUACCUUAAGCAUGGACCCUUCUCUUGCCAUCUCUGGGUGCAAUGUGGGGAGCAGCUGGGGACUGGGAGGAUGAAGCCUGAAAGGCCUGAGGCUUGGAACCAGUAGGAAGGCCUGGGCAGGGUUUGGGAAAGAGCUGGCAAAAUUUCAUACAGAUGAGGUCAGGUGGUGGAGACAAGGGAUAACGCUGGACUGGGCACCAGCGUGGGUGUGACACUGUUAACAUGAUAGGGGGAGACUGCUUGGGGAAAAUAGUUGCUUUGGGAAACACCAGAGGAAGAUGCCUCUCAAGCACUAAAUGGAGGCCAAGCAAGGUGGCUCAUGCCUGUAAUCCCAGCACUUUGGGAGGUCAAGGUGGGCAGAUUACUUGAGGCCAAGAGUUCAAGACCAUCCUGGCCAAAUUGGUGGAACCCCAUCUCUACUAAAAAUACAAAAAUUAGCUGGGUGUGGUAUGCAUUCCUGUAAUCCCAGCUACUUGGGAGGCUGAGGCACGAGAACCCCCUUGAACCCAGGAGGCAGAGGUUGCAGUGAGCUGUGAUUGCACCACUGCACUCCAGCCUGGGUGACAGAGCGAGACUCUUUCCUUAAAAAAAAAAAAAAAAAAAAAAAAAAAAAGCACUAGAUAGAGAGAGAUUGAGAUCAUCAGUUUUCAAGGGUGCUGGGGGUGUAGGCCAGCAUUGAGCCAGGGAGCAAAGCCCCAGAAGUCUGGAAGGCACUCUGGGAGCAGGAAGAAGGCCAGGAGAAGGUGGGCCCUGAAGGCCAAGAUUGGGGGGAUUCAAGAAUGUGGGGACAGUUUCCAGUGUUAAAAAUAACAGGGCCAGGUAACAUUGGGGUUGGAGAGUGUGCUGCAGAUUUAGGAGCAGGUCUCGAGACAUCACCAAUGUCUAUGUCAGAAUGGUUUCAGAAAAGUGGUACAAGUGCCGGAUGCGGUGGCUCACACCUGUAAUGCCAGCACUUUGGGAGGCCAAGGCAGGCAAAUCACUUGAGGUCAGGAGUUCGAGACCAGCCUGGCCAACGUGGUGAAACCCCGUCUCUACUAAAAAUACAAAAAAUUAGCUGGGCGUGGUGGUGCACGCCUGUAAUCCCGCUACUCAGGAGGCUGAGGUGGGAGAAUCACUGGAACCCGGGAGGCAGAAGUUGCAGUGAGCCGAGAUCAUGCCACUGCACUCCAGCCUGGAAGACAGAGCGAGACUACAUCAAAAAAAAAAAAAAACAAAAAACAAAAAAACAGGUUGGCGCAGUGGCUUAUGCUUGUAAUCCUAGCACUUAGGGAGGUCCAAGACAGGUGGAUCCCCUAAGGUCAGGAGUUCGAGACCAGCCUGACCAACAGGGCAAAACCCUGCCUCUACUAAAAAUACAAAAAAAUUAGCUGGGUGUGGUGGUGCAUGCCUGUAAUCCCAGCUACUCAGGAGGCUGAGGCGGGAGAAUGGCUUGAACCCAGGAGGUGGAGGUUGCAGUGAGCCAAGAUCGCACCACUGCACUCCAGCAUAGGUGACAGAGCAAGACUCCCUCUCAAACAAAUAAACAAAACAGAACUAAAAAAGUGGUACAAAACAAAGGCAGUCCACAAGGCUAGAGGAGUGCAGAGAAAGACAUGGCAGAGUUCCUGCUAAAAGAGAAGACAGUUAUUUAAGGAGGUUUGAGAUUCAAGGGCUUUUUUAAUUUUAAAAUUAACCAUGGUAGAAACCUGUGUGUUAAUAUGCUGAGGGAAGUUGCCAAUAGUGAGAUGAAAGAUCUAGGCAAGGGGAUAGCAAGGUGACUGCACCAGAUACCUGGAUCUGGGCAGGAAUAAACCUCAACAGUGAUCAUGUUGACCUUGAGUGACAGUAUAAUGUUUGGGAAGGUGCUUUGUAAACUAUAAGGGGCAAUACAAACAUGUAGUACACCUUCUCUGAGAUCCGGGAAAGGACAACCUGAGCAUAGGUUGGGGCUGGUCAUAGGCCACUCUGCCCUACUGUUUCUCUAGAGUGUGUGUAGUCCCUAGCAAGUCUCAGAUGCCUCGAGUCGUGGAUGGAAACAAGGUCCCAGGACCAUUGUCCUGAGCCUCCUUUCUCCGUGCUCCACCUGGGGAAUGCUUGACUAUCAACCCACAGAAGCUCUCUCUGGAGCCUCACUGCCUAAAGAGCUUCUUGUCGUAAUUGUAACCUGUCAUGGUUAACCCCUUGCAAGCAUGCCCUGCCCCUUGUCUCUCCCAAGCUUUGGCUGCUGCAGCUUCUUUCCACAAAAUCCCAGCAGAUAGCCGGGCGUCGUGGUGCGUGUCUGUAAUCCCAGCUACUCGGGAGGCUGAGGCAUGAGAAUCGCUUGAACCCAGGAGGUGGAGGUUGCAGUGAUAUUGCGCCACUGCACUCCAGCAGCCUGGGCAACAGAGUGAGAUACCCCCUCAAAAAAAAAAAAAAAAAAAAAAAAUCCCAGCAGGACACCGGCAGGACAAGGAAGGGGAUGUUUCCCUGAUAAGCAGGAACUGAACUGAGAGGAAAGGUCAGGGUCCUGAACUAGUCCAGGUAACUGAGCAUGGUCUGCAAAGGCAGCCUCCUGGCAUCAGUGCACCACCCUGAGAUGACAGCCUGUUGCCUGACUGCCUCGAUCUCUGUCACCUCAGCCCUCAGUGCCUGGGGCAUUAUACACAGUAUUAGCGUCAUGAGGGGGCCAAAUGGACUCUACCUGACAGUUACACGUACAGGUACUUCCAACCCACCCCUCAACCUGUGUCUCUCCCAAAGCUAGGAACACUUGGGGUCUCAGAGGCCCCAACCCCAGCCCAUUCUAUCUCCUAAAAAUCUCUAGCCAGCCCCUCCAUCCAGCACCCCUGCUGGGGGCUCCUCAAUGGACUUUCUUCUCCUGCACUCCCUCCCCCAGGCAGCUGCCAGGGGACUCCUUCUAAAGGGCAAAGCUGAUCUUGCCCCUGCUCUGUCCAAAUCCUUCCAUGAGCAAGACCAAGUGCAGUAGACAGAGUUCUGGCAGCAUCAGCUCCAAGUGUAAAUCCCAGCUUGACUGAUUAGGGGUGCAACCUCAUGCAGGUUAUUUCACCUCGGGUUCUCACACCUACAUUGCAGGCAUUUUAAGAAGUAAAUGUAUGAUGGGUGAAAUGCCUGGUAUUCCUCUUGGUCCCCAGAACCAGAGCAGAGCUUGCAGCAGGGUCCCCAAGGACUCUCCUGAUGCCCCUCCUCUAUCUACCCUGACCUGAGCCCCUCUCUAGUUCACACACAAGCUCUUGCCAGCUCUCUGUGCCCAUCCUACAUGCUUCUAGACCAGUUCAAAGGCUGGCCUCAGGACAGCAUCCCUGAUCUCCACCCCCCAGAGGGGGCAUCUUGGAGCACUUGGCUGAGGACACCCCAGGGAGAUUUCACUCUCCCCAGGGCUGGCCUAUAGGUUUCCCAGGGGCACAGAGGGCAGAGUCCUGGGGGUCUCUGGGCCCUGCACCAAGGAAAUGCAGGGCAAAUGCCUGUGGGAAUGCUAGUUAUGGGCAAUGCAAAGAGGCAGUGAAUCCGGGCAGGGAGAGCAGGAGGGGUUUCCAGGAAGCAGGACUGAGGGAGGAAAGGGAUCUGGGGGCACUGCAGGGCUUUUGGGGUGCAGAGAUAUCCAGAACUUCUUGGUUGGGAUGAGUGAGGGGAGAUCCGUCUUCUCUCAGUGGCCUAAGCACUGGCGGCGGAAUGGGCCCAUCACCUAGCUACUGGCUCUGAUGAAGCCAGUGUUUCAGGACUGAGGGGGCCGAGAGCG